CUUGUAGGCGGUUUGUCGCGUCUGCUGUGAAAUCUCAAGGCUCAACCUUGAGCUUGCAGUGGGUACGGGCAGACUAGAGUGUGGUAGGGGAGACUGGAAUUCCUGGUGUAGCGGUGAAAUGCGCAGAUAUCAGGAGGAACACCGAUGGCGAAGGCAGGUCUCUGGGCCACUACUGACGCUGAGAAGCGAAAGCAUGGGGAGCGAACAGGAUUAGAUACCCUGGUAGUCCAUGCCGUAAACGUUGGGAACUAGGUGUGGGCCUCAUUCCACGAGGUCCGUGCCGCAGCUAACGCAUUAAGUUCCCCGCCUGGGGAGUACGGCCGCAAGGCUAAA
rnacentral:rRNA from 1 species